UUCUGCAAUUUCUCUCGCCGCCUCCUUUCCCCACUAUCUCUCCAUUCUCCAUUGGAAACAACUCUUCUUGUUCUACUAGCUCCCACGCUUAUAUGAAUCAAGAAAACAAAGAAAAUACAACAGAGGGCGUGUUGAGUUUAUUGGUUUCUGGGGUUUGUGUAAAAGCUUCGUUCUAUCAUUUUACCUCUUUGUUUUUUUGUUUUGUAGUGUGUUUGUUUGUUUUUGUAAUG